rnacentral:rRNA from 1 species
AUUGAACGCUGGCGGCAGGCCUAACACAUGCAAGUCGAACGGUAACAGGAAGAAGCUUGCUUCUUUGCUGACGAGUGGCGGACGGGUGAGUAAUGUCUGGGAAACUGCCUGAUGGAGGGGGAUAACUACUGGAAACGGUAGCUAAUACCGCAUAACGUCGCAAGACCAAAAAGGGGGACCUUCGGGCCUCUUGCCAUCGGCUGUGCCCAGAUGGGAUUAGCUAGUAGGUGGGGUAACGGCUCACCUAGGCGACGAUCCCUAGCUGGUCUGAGAGGAUGACCAGCCACACUGGAACUGAGACACGGUCCAGACUCCUACGGGAGGCAGCAGUGGGGAAUAUUGCACAAUGGGCGCAAGCCUGAUGCAGCCAUGCCGCGUGUAUGAAGAAGGCCUUCGGGUUGUAAAGUACUUUCAGCGGGGAGGAAGGGAGUAAAGUUAAUACCUUCGCUCAUUGACGUUACCCGCAGAAGAAGCACCGGCUAACUCCGUG